rnacentral:lncRNA from 1 species
ACAACACGUGACUGCUGGUCAGGUUUUUCUUACUUAGGGGAGGAUGAGGGGGCAUAGCUGGUUCCGCUUGGGGAGAGUGGUAGAUAACAUCUGGAAUGCCCGGCUCGAGUGUCCUCUGCUCCCCACCUACUCCUCUUCUCCAAUCUGAGCCUACCCUGGCCUCCUGUACACUGUGCUAGGGACAGGGCUGUCCCACAGGUGCCAUGUUGGGUUAUCUCGCUGCUGUUGGCUGGUUUCACUCUGGAGGUUGGCACCAUGGACACAGCUCAGCGUUGCUCUGGCGCAUAUCCUCCUGAGCCACACCCCACGUCUG